AAGGGAUGCCUUAGUACUGCGAGUGAGCGGCAGAAGCUCAAAUUUGAAAUCUGCGUCCCUCGGGGCGCCGAGUUGUAAUCUUGAGAUGCGUUUUCGACCGACAGGCCUGCCUUAAGUCCCUUGGAACAGGGCGUCACAGAGGGUGAGAAUCCCGUGAACGGUAGGCCUCGAGGCGUAUGAUACGUAUUCAACGAGUCGAGUUGUUUGGGAAUGCAGCUCAAAAUGGGUGGUAAAUUUCAUCUAAAGCUAAAUAUUGGGGAGAGACCGAUAGCGCACAAGUAGAGUGAUCGAAAGAUGAAAAGAACUUUGAAAAGAGAGUUAAAAAGUACGUGAAAUUGUUGAAAGGGAAGCGCUUGAGACCAGACUCAUUCGCCGUCGAUCAACUCCAGUUCUCUGGCGUGCACUCGGCGGUGAUUGGGACAGCAUCGGUUCCCACGGAGGGAAAAAGCCCCGGGAAAUGUGGCACCCUUCCGGGUGUGUUAUAGACCUGCGGGCAAUGCCUCCAGCGGGGACCGAGGACCGCGCUCCGGCUAGGAUGCUGUCAUAAUGGCCUUCAGCGACCCGUCUUGAAACACGGACCAAGGAGUCUAACAUCUAUGCGAGUGUUCGGGUGGAAAACCCUUGCGCGUAAUGAAGGUGAACGGAGGUGGGAAUCGCAAGACGCACCAUCGACCGAAUCCCGAUGA
rnacentral:rRNA from 1 species